AUGAACGCUGGCGGCGUGCCUAAUACAUGCAAGUCGAGCGAACAGACGAGGAGCUUGCUCCUCUGACGUUAGCGGCGGACGGGUGAGUAACACGUGGAUAACCGACCUAUAAUACUGGGAUAACUUCGGGAAACCGGAGCUAAUACCGGAUAAUAUAUUGAACCGCAUGGUUCAAUAGUGAAAGACGGUUUUGCUGUCACUUAUAGAUGGAUCCGCGCCGCAUUAGCUAGUUGGUAAGGUAACGGCUUACCAAGGCGACGAUGCGUAGCCGACCUGAGAGGAUGAUCAGCCACACUGGAACUGAGACACGGUCCAGACUCCUACGGGAGGCAGCAGUAGGGAAUCUUCCGCAAUGGGCGAAAGCCUGACGGAGCAACGCCGCGUGAGUGAUGAAGGUCUUCGGAUCGUAAAGCUCUGUUAUUAGGGAAGAACAAAUGUGUAAGUAACUAUGCACGUCUUGACGGUACCUAAUGAGAAAGCCACGGCUAACUACGUG
rnacentral:rRNA from 1 species